rnacentral:rRNA from 1 species
GAUGAACGCUGGCGGCGUGCCUAAUACAUGCAAGUCGAGCGAACAGACGAGGAGCUUGCUCCUCUGACGUUAGCGGCGGACGGGUGAGUAACACGUGGAUAACCUACCUAUAAGACUGGGAUAACUUCGGGAAACCGGAGCUAAUACCGGAUAAUAUAUUGAACCGCAUGGUUCAAUAGUGAAAGACGGUUUUGCUGUCACUUAUAGAUGGAUCCGCGCCGCAUUAGCUAGUUGGUAAGGUAACGGCUUACCAAGGCAACGAUGCGUAGCCGACCUGAGAGGGUGAUCGGCCACACUUGAAAUGAGACACGGUCCAGACUCCUACGGGAGGCAGCAGGAGGGAAUCUUCCGCAAUGGGCGAAAGCUUGACGGAGCAAAGCCGCGUGAGUGAUGAAGGUCUUCGGAUCGUAAAACUCUGUUAUUAGGGAAGAAAAAAUGUGUAAGUAACUAUGCACGUCUUGACGGUACCUAAUCAGAAAGCCACGGCUAACUACGUG